rnacentral:misc_RNA from 1 species
AAGUCGUAACAAGGUUUCCGUAGGUGAACCUGCGGAAGGAUCAUUAGUGAAUUAUAGGGCGUCUACUUGUAGAGCCUGACCUCCACUUCUAACACUGUGCACUUGAUGGCUUGGUAAUGGAUCUCUAACGAGUGAAACUACCUUGCGGCUUCAUUUUAAACAUUAGUCAAAGUAUGUAAUGAAAUAAAAAACAAAAAAAAACUUUCAACAACGGAUCUCUUGGUUCUG